rnacentral:rRNA from 1 species
UACGUAGGGGGCAAGCGUUGUCCGGAUUUAUUGGGCGUAAAGAGCGUGUAGGCGGCCAGGCAGGUCCGUUGUGAAAACUGGAGGCUUAACCUCCAGCUGUCGAUGGAAACCAUCUGGCUAGAGUCCGGAAGAGGAGAGUGGAAUUCCUGGUGUAGCGGUGAAAUGCGCAGAUAUCAGGAAGAACACCCGUGGCGAAGGCGGCUCUCUGGGACGGUACUGACGCUGAGACGCGAAAGCGUGGGGAGCGAACAGG